rnacentral:rRNA from 1 species
GGAGUUAGCCGGUGCUUCUUCUGCGAGUAACGUCACAGAUGUAAGGUAUUAACUUACACCCUUUCCUCCUCGCUGAAAGUGCUUUACAACCCGAAGGCCUUCUUCACACACGCGGCAUGGCUGCAUCAGGGUUUCCCCCAUUGUGCAAUAUUCCCCACUGCUGCCUCCCGUAGGAGUCUGGGCCGUGUCUCAGUCCCAGUGUGGCUGAUCAUCCUCUCAGACCAGCUAGGGAUCGUCGCCUAGGUGAGCCUUUACCUCACCUACUAGCUAAUCCCACCUGGGCUUAUCCAUCAGCGCAAGGCCCGAAGGUCCCCUGCUUUCCCCCGUAGGGCGUAUGCGGUAUUAGCAGUCGUUUCCAACUGUUAUCCCCCACAAAUGGGCAAAUUCCCAGGCAUUACUCACCCGUCCGCCGCUCGUCAUCUUCAAAGCAAGCUUUUGAAUGUUACCGCUCGACUUGCAUGUGUUAGCUCGCCGCCACGCGUCAUCUGAGCCGAGGAUACAACUACUGA